GAUAAACGCUGGCGGCGUGCCUAAUACAUGCAAGUCGAGCGGAAAGGCUCCUUCGGGAGUACUCGAGCGGCGGACGGCUGAGUAACACGUAGGAACGUACCCCAAAGUGAGGGAUAACUGCUCGAAAGAGUAGCUAAUACCGCAUGUGCUCUAAGGAGUAAAGCUUCGGCGCUUUGGGAACGGCCUGCGCCUGAUUAGCUUGUUGGUGAGGUAAAAGCUCACCAAGGCGACGAUCAGUAGCUGGUCUGAGAGGAUGAUCAGCCAGGCUGGGACUGAGAACGGCCCAGACUCCUACGGGAGGCAGCAGUAGGGAAUUUUCCACAAUGGGCGAAAGCCUGAUGGAGCAACGCCGCGUGCAGGAUGAAUGCCUUCGGGUUGUAAACUGCUUUUAUAUGUGACGAAUAUGACGGUAGCAUAUGAAUAGGGAUCGGCUAACUCCGUGCCAGCAGCCGCCGUAA
rnacentral:rRNA from 1 species